rnacentral:rRNA from 1 species
UACGUAGGUGGCAAGCGUUGUCCGGAUUUAUUGGGCGUAAAGCGCGCGCAGGUGGUGCGGUAAGUCUGCCGUGAAAUCUCCCGGCUCAACUGGGAGGGGGCGGUGGAGACUGCCGGACUGGAGGGACUCAGAGGCCGGUGGAAUUCCCGGUGUAGUGGUGAAAUGCGUAGAGAUCGGGAGGAACACCAGUGGCGAAGGCGGCCGGCUGGGGGUGCCCUGACGCUGAGGCGGCGAAAGCGUGGGGAGCGAACCGGG